rnacentral:rRNA from 1 species
CCUACGGGAGGCAGCAGGUGGGGAUAUUUCACAAUGGGGGGAACCCUGAUGCAGCGACGCCGCGGGGGUGAAGAAGCGCCUCGGCGCGUAAAGCCCUGUCAGCAGGGAAGAAAAUGACGGUACCUGAAGAAGAAGCCCCGGCUAACUACGUGCCAGCAGCCGCGGUAAUACGUAGGGGGCAAGCGUUAUCCGGAUUUACUGGGUGUAAAGGGGGCGCAGACGGCGAUGCAAGCCAGGAGGGAAAGCCCGGGGCCCAACCCCGGGACUGCUCUUGGAACGGCGUGGCUGGAGGGCAGGAGGGGCAGGCGGAAUUCCUGGUGUAGCGGUGAAAUGCGUAGAUAUCAGGAGGAACACCGGUGGCGAAGGCGGCCUGCUGGACUGCAACUGACGUUGAGGCCCGAAAGCGUGGGGAGCAAACAGGAUUAGAUACCCCAGUAGUC